GACGAACGCUGGCGGCGUGCUUAACACAUGCAAGUCGAACGGUGAAGGGACCGGUUUUUGCUGGUUCUGGAUGAGUGGCGAACGGGUGAGUAACACGUGAGUAACCUGCCCCCCUCUUCUGGAUAACCGCAUGAAAGUGUGGCUAAUACGGGAUAUUCUGCGCCUGCUGCAUGGUGGGUGUGGGAAAGAUAUUGUUUCGGUGGGGGAUGGGCUCGCGGCCUAUCAGCUUGUUGGUGGGGUGAUGGCCUACCAAGGCGGUGACGGGUAGCCGGCCUGAGAGGGUGGACGGUCACACUGGGACUGAGACACGGCCCAGACUCCUACGGGAGGCAGCAGUGGGGAAUAUUGCACAAUGGGCGCAAGCCUGAUGCAGCGACGCCGCGUGAGGGAUGGAGGCCUUCGGGUUGUAAACCUCUUUCGCCAGUGAAGCAGGCCUGUCCCUUUUGUGGGUGGGUUGACGGUAGCUGGAUAAGAAGCGCCGGCUAACUACGUG
rnacentral:rRNA from 1 species